CUGCCCAGCUGCUUGAUGAUGGCAGCUAGGGUGCUGUUGGUGACACAUUCCAGCUCGCUGGUGACGCCAUCGGGCAGGGCACCUCGGCACAAGUGCCUGGGUUCAAUGUUCCUCUUGACCAGUGGCAUUGUCCUAGGUUGUCUUCA
rnacentral:sRNA from 1 species